rnacentral:rRNA from 1 species
GACGAACGCUGGCGGCGUGCUUAACACAUGCAAGUCGAACGGAAAGGCCCUGCUUUUGUGGGGUGCUCGAGUGGCGAUCGGGUGAGUAACACGUGAGUAACCUGCCCUUGACUUUGGGAUAACUUCAGGAAACUGGGGCUAAUACCGGAUAGGAGCUCCUGCUGCAUGGUGGGGGUUGGAAAGUUUCGGCGGUUGGGGAUGGACUCGCGGCUUAUCAGCUUGUUGGUGGGGUAGUGGCUUACCAAGGCUUUGACGGGUAGCCGGCCUGAGAGGGUGACCGGCCACAUUGGGAAUGAGAUAAGGCCCAGACGCCUACGGGAGGCAGCAGUGGGGAAUAUUGCACAAUGGGCGGAAGCCUGAGGCAGCAACGCCGCGUGCGGGAUGACGGCCUUCGGGUUGUAAACCGCUUUCGCCUGUGACGAAGCGUGAGUGACGGUAAUGGGUAAAGAAGCACCGGCUAACUACGU